UAGGGAAUCUUCGGCAAUGGACGAAAGUCUGACCGAGCAACGCCGCGUGAGUGAAGAAGGUUUUCGGAUCGUAAAACUCUGUUGUUAGAGAAGAACAAGGACGUUAGUAACUGAACGUCCCCUGACGGUAUCUAACCAGAAAGCCACGGCUAACUACGUGCCAGCAGCCGCGGUAAUACGUAGGUGGCAAGCGUUGUCCGGAUUUAUUGGGCGUAAAGCGAGCGCAGGCGGUUUCUUAAGUCUGAUGUGAAAGCCCCCGGCUCAACCGGGGAGGGUCAUUGGAAACUGGGGGACUUGAGUGCAGAAGAGGAGAGUGGAAUUCCAUGUGUAGCGGUGAAAUGCGUAGAUAUAUGGAGGAACACCAGUGGCGAAGGCGGCUUUCUGGUCUGUAACUGACGCUGAGGCUCGAAAGCGUGGGGAGCAAACAGG
rnacentral:rRNA from 1 species